UGCGACCCCASGUCAGACGGGACUACCCGCUGAGUUUAAGCAUAUCA
rnacentral:rRNA from 1 species